rnacentral:rRNA from 1 species
GAACGGGAUUGGGAGCUUGCUCCCAUGAGAGUGGCGCACGGGUGAGUAACGCGUAUGCAACCUACCUUUAACUGAGGGAUAGCCCAUAGAAAUGUGGAUUAAUACCUCAUAGUUCUUUUUGUCCGCAUGGACAGAUAGAUAAAGCUCCGGCGGUUAAAGAUGGGCAUGCGUGACAUUAGCUAGUUGGUAAGGUAACGGCUUACCAAGGCUACGAUGUCUAGGGGUUCUGAGAGGAUGAUCCCCCACACUGGUACUGAGACACGGACCAGACUCCUACGGGAGGCAGCAGUGAGGAAUAUUGGUCAAUGGGCGCAAGCCUGAACCAGCCAUCCCGCGUGAAGGAUGAAGGCCCUAUGGGUCGUAAACUUCUUUUAUACGCCAAGAAAAUUUCGGACGUGUCCGGAACUGACGGUAGUGUAUGAAUAAGCAUCGGCUAACUCCGUGCCAGCAGCCGCGGUAAUACGGAGGAUGCAAGCGUUAUCCGGAUUCAUUGGGUUUAAAGGGUGCGUAGGCGGCUUUUUAAGUCAGUGGUGAAAUCUUGCCGCUUAACGGUAAAAUUGCCAUUGAUACUGACAAGCUUGAGUACAUUUGAGGUAAGCGGAAUGUGUAGUGUAGCGGUGAAAUGCUUAGAUAUUACACAGAACACCAAUUGCGAAGGCAGCUUACUAAACUGUUACUGACGCUGAUGCACGAAAGCGUGGGGAGCGAACAGGAUUAGAUACCCUGGUAGUCCACGCCGUAAACGAUGUUCACUCGCUGUUUGCGAUACACAGCAAGCGGCCAAGCGAAAGCAUUAAGUGAACCACCUGGGGAGUACGAUCGCAAGGUUG